UUUGGAGUAGACUAAUGGGUAAGUCCUAGAUUUUUGAUAUCUAAAAUUGAGUGUUCGAAUCACUUCUCCAAAA
rnacentral:tRNA from 2 species